GGUCUCGUGGCCGAGUGGCUAGGCAGUGGUCUGCAAAACCAUCUACAUCGGUUCGAAUCCGAUCGAGACCUCUA
rnacentral:tRNA from 1 species